CGGUGCCCCUGUCGAACCCUAACCCCCAAAAUCCAAAUCCCCAACCUCGAUCGAUCGAUCGGCCGAACCCUAACCCCCACCGCCCAAAUCCCCAAUUCCGCACGGCGACGAUGGCCGCCGGCAACCCCCGCCUCCCCAACUUCAUCCUCCUCGACGCGACCACCCGCAUCAGCGAUCCCCGCAACGGAACCGCCACCGCGUGGGCCUUGACGACGGCGGGCCUCACCAUACAGGUCUCCUUGGUGGUGGCCGCGCCGCCGCGCCUCUCCCACUUCUGCGUCUGCUGCCCCGGCCGCGACGCGACCACCUUCGCGCACGCGCCCGAGGUCGUCUGCUCCGCGGGGGACCACGCCCUUAUCCGGGCCGACUUCACCACCGGCGACUCGGAGUCGCAGCAGCACUUCAUCUACCGAGCCAGGGGCCCCGACGACCGGCCGUCGCUUGACCUGAUCCCGGACUUCACUGGUUAUUCCCGGGCAGAGCUUCUGCAUCUGCCCCUCGGUUUCGUCUCCAGCCGCAACCACUUGGUCAUAGCGGCUCUGAGCUACGGGACGAAGGACUCGCAGUACUAUCUCCACACCCUCAGCUCCGAGCCGCGGUCCAAGUGGACCAAGAAGCUGCUGCAGGUGGAGCUCCCCCAUGGAUUAUCCAGGAAACAGCUUGUGAUCGAUCACGCCAAGGUGAUCGCCCUCGGAGGCGGGCUGCUGGGAUGGGUCGAUCUCUGGGAGGGCAUCCUGAUCUGUGACGUGCUCGAACCCGGGGCAGCCGUGUCACGCUUGGUCCCGAUGCCCAAGCUGCUGCCCAGCAACAAACCACUCUACGGCCAAUCUUUGCCUCGGGCGAUUCGCGACGUCACCUUCAGCCGUGGCUACAUGAGAUGCGUCGAACUUGAGGAGCUGGUAGAACUUAGAGUCAGAACUGUGCCGCCUCUUCCUGACCCCUGGGACAUGGAUGAGCUCCAAGACUCGGAAUUGGCCAUCGAUCCUCCGCAGGAGGAUGGGGAAGAAUAUGUCACCGUUGGUUGGAGGCUCAUCACAUGGUACAGGGCAUUGACUUGGAACUGUUGGCGCAAGGGGAACAGGGUUCAUUCCGAUGAGCUCGGUAGUGUCUCCCCUCAGCUAGGAGGUAGUGCCUGUGGUUUAAAACUGCCACUCAAGGACCUGAGAGUAGCUGCUCCUAUUCUGCGUGGCGACGGUGAUGCUGUUUACCUCGCGUCCGCGCUGCAUAAGCGGGACCCAACUGCAUGGAUUGUCGCUGUUGACACUAGGAGGAAGUCGGUGGAAGAGCUUAUGCCAUGCUCUGCAAAGGGGCUGUAUCUUUACGAUCCGACCUACAUUCCAUAUGUGCUGACCGAAUAUCUGAAUGAUAAAUCAGAUGGAGCUCAGGUACAGACGCAAAAUGCUUGCCAUCACACCCCACGAAACUUUGAUGGGUCCGAGAAGAAGCGGCAGCGACUUUCACAGACAGAAUCUGAAGUCUGAAAUGUUGAUGAUACAGCUCAUGGACUUCGAGGAUUAGUGAAAGCUUCAGAUUUGUUGUUUGAGUAACUAUCAAACUAGAAGAUACAGUUUAGUAAUCUUCCAUUUACGAGUAACAUAACGAUGGGGUUGCAUGACCUGGUAAGUUGAGUCAGCUGGGUGGUUUUGUACUGUGCAGUGCUGGCAUCGUAGGAGGAUGCUACUAACAAUGGGGAUUAAUUCUGACAUCAAUUCUGUGUCAACAUUUUAUUUUCAAGUUGAGGAGGAAGAAUAUGCUCGUUCUUUUCCUUGUAGCCCAGCAAAACGCAAUCAUGCCACUGCUGCCUUUGGUGACGCUGAUUCUUCUACAGUCUUGGUUGAGUAGUUUGUUUUUGCGACAUGGACCUGCUUUUGUACUAUCUUGUAAACUGGGAUCAGCAUUACUCAUGUAAAUUUUGUUGUGUGCAAAAUAAUAGUGGUGUUGCUAUGAUAACUAUUAUGCAGUCCAACUACAAUUG